rnacentral:rRNA from 1 species
CCUACGGGCGGCAGCAGUGAGGAAUAUUGGUCAAUGGACGAGAGUCUGAACCAGCCAAGUAGCGUGAAGGAUGACUGCCCUAUGGGUUGUAAACUUCUUUUAUAUGGGAAUAAAAUGUUCCUAGUUUGGGAUUUUGUAUGUACCAUAUGAAUAAGGAUCGGCUAACUACGUGCCAGCAGCCGCGGUAAUACGGAGGAUACGAGCGUUAUCCGGAUUUAGUGGGUUUGAAGGGAGCGUAGGUGGAUGGUUAAGUCAGUUGUGAAAGUUUGUGGCUCAACCGUAAAAUUGCAGUUGAAACUGGCAGUCUUGAGUACAGUAGAGGUGGGCGGAAUUCGUGGUGUAGCGGUGAAAUGCGUAGAUAUCACGAAGAACUCCGAUUGCGAAGGCAGCUUACUGGACUGAAACUGACACUGAGGCUCGAAAGUGUGGGUAUCAAACAGGAUUAGAUACCCGAGUAGUC